rnacentral:rRNA from 1 species
UACGUAGGGAGCAAGCGUUGUCCGGAAUCAUUGGGCGUAAAGCGCGCGUAGGCGGCCCUGUAAGUCCGUUGUGAAAGUCAAAGGCUCAACCUUUGAAAGCCGAUGGAUACUGCAGGGCUAGAGUCCGGAAGAGGCGAGUGGAAUUCCUGGUGUAGCGGUGGAAAUGCGCAGAUAUCAGGAGGAACACCGAUGGCGAAGGCAGGUCUCUGGGCAUUAACUGACGCUGAGGAGCGAAAAGCAUGGGGAGCGAACAGG